rnacentral:misc_RNA from 1 species
GGAUGCAACCGGGCACGAAUUUGCGACUCGUCUUGGCAAUGUGUUCACAAUUGGCAAGGGGACUAAGCCAUGGGUGUCCCUACCCAAGGGUAAGGGUAUUAAAUUAUCCAUCAUUGAAGAGGCCAGGAAGAGGCUAGCAAGCCAAGCCGCAGUUACCGCUUAAGACUUAAAUGUAGUGUAGUCAUGAUGAAAGGUGGGAUUUUGCUCUUAGUUUUAUAUUUUGGUCAACUAGAUCUCUCCUCGAAAAGAUUGAUACUUUGUUUUUUCUACUAGAAUUGUGUGAGGCUACUGC